AUACGUAGGGUGCAAGCGUUAAUCGGAAUUACUGGGCGUAAAGCGUGCGCAGGCGGUUCGGAAAGAAGGAUGUGAAAUCCCAGGGCUCCACCUUGGAACUGCAUUCUUAACUACCGAACUAGAGUAUGUCAGAGGGGGGUAGAAUUCCGCGUGUAGCAGUGAAAUGCGUAGAUAUGCGGAGGAAUACCGAUGGCGAAGGCAGCCCCCUGGGAUAAUACUGACGCUCAUGCACGAAAGCGUGGGUAGCAAACAGGAUUAGAUACCCUGGUAGUCCACGCCCUAAACGAUGUCAACUAGCUGUUGGGCCCUUCGGGGCUUAGUAGCGUAGCUAACGCGUGAAGUUGACCGCCUGGGGAGUACGGUCGCAAGAUUAAAACUCAAAGGAAUUGACGGG
rnacentral:rRNA from 1 species